rnacentral:rRNA from 1 species
AGGGCACCACCAGGAGUGGAGCCUGCGGCUUAAUUUGACUCAACACGGGGAAACUCACCCGGCCCGGACACCGGAAGGAUUGACAGAUUGAUAGCUCUUUCUUGAUUCGGUGGAUGGUGGUGCAUGGCCGUUCUUAGUUGGUGGAGUGAUUUGUCUGGUUAAUUCCGAUAACGAACGAGACUCUAGCCUACUAAAUAGACCUCGGCAUUCUUUGUACUGUCGAGGCGCUUCUUAGAGGGACAGGCGGCGUUUCAGCCGCAUGAGAAAGAGCAAUAACAGGUCUGUGAUGCCCUUAGAUGUCCGGGGCCGCACGCGCGCUACACUGAAGAGAUCAGCGUGCAUGUGCUUCCUACUCCGAAAGGAGCGGGAAACCGAGUGAACCUUUUUCGUGCUUGGGAUUGGGGAUUGUAAUUAUUCUCCAUGAACGAGGAAUUCCCAGUAAGCACAAGUCAUCAGCUUGUGUUGAUUACGUCCCUGCCCUUUGUACACACCGCCCGUCGCUACUACCGAUUGGAUGUU